GACGAACGCUGUCGGCGUGCUUAACACAUGCAAGUCGAACGGAAAGGCCCUGCUUUUGUGGGGUGCUCGAGUGGCGAACGGGUGAGUAACACGUGAGUAACCUGCCCUUGACUUUGGGAUAACUUCAGGAAACUGGGGCUAAUACCGGAUAGGAGCUCCUGCUGCAUGGUGGGGGUUGGAAAGUUUCGGCGGUUGGGGAUGGACUCGCGGCUUAUCAGCUUGUUGGUGGGGUAGUGGCUUACCAAGGCUUUGACGGGUAGCCGGCCUGAGAGGGUGACCGGCCACAUUGGGACUGAGAUACGGCCCAGACUCCUACGGGAGGCAGCAGUGGGGAAUAUUGCACAAUGGGCGGAAGCCUGAUGCAGCAACGCCGCGUGCGGGAUGACGGCCUUCGGGUUGUAAACCGCUUUCGCCUGUGACGAAGCGUGAGUGACGGUAAUGGGUAAAGAAGCACCGGCUAACUACGUGCCAGCAGCCGCGGUGAUACGUAGGGUGCGAGCGUUGUCCGGAUUUAUUGGGCGCAAAGGGCUCGUAGGUGGUUGAUCGCGUCGGAAGUGUAAUCUUGGGGCUUAACCCUGAGCGUGCUUUCGAUACGGGUUGACUUGAGGAAGGUAGGGGAGAAUGGAAUUCCUGGUGGAGCGGUGGAAUGCGCAGAUAUCAGGAGGAACACCAGUGGCCGAAGGCGGUUCUCUGGGCCUUUCCUGACGCUGAGGAGCGAAAGCGUGGGGAGCGAACAGGCUUAGAUACCCUGGUAGUCCACGCUGUAAACGGUGGGUACUAGGUGUGGGGUCCAUUCCACGGGUUCCGUGCCGUAGCUAACGCUUUAAGUACCCCGCCUGGGGAGUACGGCCGCAAGGCUAAAACUCAAAGGAAUUGACGGGGCCCCGCACAAGCGGCGGAGCAUGCGGAUUAAUUCGAUGCAACGCGUAGAACCUUACCUGGGUUUGACAUGGAUCGGGAGUGCUCAGAGAUGGGUGUGCCUCUUUUGGGGUCGGUUCACAGGUGGUGCAUGCCUGUCGUCAGCUCGUGUCGUGAGAUGUUGGGUUAAGUCCCGCAACGAGCGCAACCCUUGUUCACUGUUGCCAGCACGUUAUGGUGGGGACUCAGUGGAGACCGCCGGGGUCAACUCGGAGGAAGGUGGGGAUGACGUCAAGUCAUCAUGCCCCUUAUGUCCAGGGCUUCACGCAUGCUACAAUGGCUGGUACAGAGAGUGGCGAGCCUGUGAGGGUGAGCGAAUCUCGGAAAGCCGGUCUCAGUUCGGAUUGGGGUCUGCAACUCGACCUCAUGAAGUCGGAGUCGCUAGUAAUCGCAGAUCAGCAACGCUGCGAUGAAUACGUUCCCGGG
rnacentral:rRNA from 1 species